GCCGCCCUAAUUCCUGAUGAAACUGACGGAUCAAUCCUUCCUCCUCUCACUCCAUCUCCAUUGCUGGCUCGACCAUAGAUUCACCAUACAGUUUUGAAAAUUAUUAGCAAUAUUAUUCUCAAUCGGAGAACCCAACUUUAUCUCCCUCAAAAUGCAUCCGGCGAAUCGGCUAAAUCGAACGAAUCAAAUACUUCAAAAGAGAAGAACUCAAAGUCCUAACAGAAUUCUGUUCGAGAGACUGAAAAGCAUCACUUCAAGGAUGGAUCUGAAGAGAAUUAUGGUUUCUUCACCAAAACCGAGCAAUCAAAUUCUCAAAGUUUUGUGAAUGUUGUAGGUUCUGCUUAGUUAACGGUCAACCGGAGCAAGCAGAAAAAACUUAAACUAAGGUGACGGAGUUUGAACCCGCAACCUCAAAACCAACACAGUUUCACGCUGCCAACUGUGCUACAACCCGCUGGUGAUUCUUGUGAUCUUUCUAGUG